AUUCAGCUGACGAGUCCCAAAAGGAGGAAACGCGAGUCCUGAAU
rnacentral:hammerhead_ribozyme from 1 species